rnacentral:lncRNA from 1 species
CUGUCUUCUUGUGUCCCCCCACUUAAACACGGGGACAGGGAAAUUGGAGACAGAGGAUCUGCUCUCCUUCAGAGCAUCAAAACUUUGCGUACACAUAAACUGCUCACUAUAUUGAUGAUAAUUGGGACUUGAAGAAGAAGAUACUUGCAUAUAAAUAUAUUGAAUAUCCUUACGAUGGUGAAACUCUACUUGAGUUUAUCACUGAUAUAAUCUCGGAGUGGAAUUCUACUUUCUAAAUGCUUGAAGUUGCAAUAUACAUGAGAGAAGCAUUGGAUCGUUUAGCGGUUUAAUCAUUUGACUCUGUGUCUUGAAAGGUUACAUACCCGCUAGAUGUGCUCAGGUUAAGAUUAGCAGUUGAGCUGGGGUACCGAAAAAUGACAGAGGUCAAACUGGUUAAAUCAACUGUAUUUAUGACAAG